rnacentral:rRNA from 1 species
GCUGGCGGCUGCCUACACAUGCAAGUCGAACGAGAUCCUUCGGGGUCUAGUGGCGCACGGGUGCGUAACGCGUGGGAAUCUGCCCUUAGGUACGGAAUAACUCAGGGAAACUUGUGCUAAUACCGUAUGAUGUCUUCGGACCAAAGAUUUAUCGCCUAGGGAUGAGCCCGCGUAGGAUUAGCUAGUUGGUGGGGUAAAGGCCUACCAAGGCUACGAUCCUUAGCUGGUCUGAGAGGAUGAUCAGCCACACUGGGACUGAGACACGGCCCAGACUCCUACGGGAGGCAGCAGUGGGGAAUAUUGGACAAUGGGCGAAAGCCUGAUCCAGCAAUGCCGCGUGAGUGAAGAAGGCCUUCGGGUUGUAAAGCUCUUUUACCCGGGAAGAUAAUGACUGUACCGGGAGAAUAAGCCCCGGCUAACUCCGUGCCAGCAGCCGCGGUAAU